CGGGGGGCUCCAGCAGUGAGGAAUAUUGCACAAUGGGGGGAACCCUGAUGCAGCAACGCCGCGUGGAGGAUGACGCAUUUCGGUGUGUAAACUCCUUUUAUAUGUCAAGAAAAUGACGGUAGCAUAUGAAUAAGCACCGGCUAACUCCGUGCCAGCAGCCGCGGUAAUACGGAGGGUGCAAGCGUUACUCGGAAUCACUGGGCGUAAAGGACGCGUAGGCGGGUUGGAAAGUCAGGUGUGAAAUCCUACAGCUUAACUGUAGAACUGCACUUGAAACUUCUAAUCUAGAGUAUGGGAGGGGGAGGUGGAAUUAGUGGUGUAGGGGUAAAAUCCGUAGAUAUCAUUAGGAAUACCUAAAGCGAAGGCGAUCUCCUGGAACAUUACUGACGCUAAGGCGUGAAAGCGUGGGGAGCAAACAGGAUUAGAUACCCUUGUAGUC
rnacentral:rRNA from 1 species